rnacentral:rRNA from 1 species
CAGUCGCCGCGGUAAUACGAAGGGUGCAAGCGUUACUCGGAAUUACUGGGCGUAAAGCGUGCGUAGGUGGUGGUUUAAGUCCGUUGUGAAAGCCCUGGGCUCAACCUGGGAAUUGCAGUGGAUACUGGGUCACUAGAGUGUGGUAGAGGAUAGUGGAAUUUCCGGUGUAGCAGUGAAAUGCGUAGAGAUCGGAAGGAACAUCUGUGGCGAAGGCGACUAUCUGGGCCAACACUGACACUGAGGCACGAAAGCGUGGGGAGCAAACAGGAUUAGAUACCCCCGUAGUCCCUGUCUCUUAACC